AUAAGCGGAGGAAAAGAAACCAACAGGGAUUGCCCUAGUAACGGCGAGUGAAGCGGCAACAGCUCAAAUUUGAAAUCUGGCCCCUCCGGUGCCCGAGUUGUAAUUUGCAGAGGGUGCUUUGGUGUUGGCUGUGGUCCAAGUUCCCUGGAACAGGACGUCACAGAGGGUGAGAACCCCGUACGUGGCCGCCAGUCUUCGCCGUGUAAAGCCCCUUCGACGAGUCGAGUUGUUUGGGAAUGCAGCUCUAAAUGGGAGGUAAAUUCCUUCUAAAGCUAAAUAUUGGCCAGAGACCGAUAGCGCACAAGUAGAGUGAUCGAAAGAUGAAAAGCACUUUGGAAAGAGAGUGAAACAGCACGUGAAAUUGUUGAAAGGGAAGCGCUUGGAGCCAGACGUGCCCGUAGUUGCUCAGCCGGGGUUCUCCCCGGUGCACUCUUCUGCGGGCAGGCCAGCAUCAGUUUGGGCGGUUGGAUAAAGACCUGCUAAACGUACCUCCCCCCGGGGAGGACUUAUAGGGUAGGCGGCAUACAACCAGCCCGGACUGAGGACCGCGCAUCUGCUAGGAUGCUGGCGUAAUGGCUGUAAGCGGCCCGUCUUGAAACACGGACCAAGGAGUCUAACAUCUAUGCGAGUGUUUGGGUGUCAAGCCCGAGCGCGUAAUGAAAGUGAACGCAGGUGGGAGCCUUUCGGGGCGCACCAUCGACCGAUCCUGAUGUCUUCGGAAGGAUUUGAGUAAGAGCAUAGCUGUUGGGACCCGAAAGAUGGUGAACUAUGCCUGAAUAGGGUGAAGCCAGAGGAAACUCUGGUGGAGGCUCGCAGCGGUUCUGACGUGCAAAUCGAUCGUCAAAUUUGGGCAUAGGGGCGAAAGACUAAUCGAACUAUCUAGUAGCUGGUUCCUGC
rnacentral:rRNA from 1 species